rnacentral:lncRNA from 1 species
GGCUUCCUUCUGACCGUGACCGUGUGCUUCCACGUCCGACGGGCUCCGAGGUAGUUGAGAGCCGGUUUGCUCCCUUCCCCCGCCCUCUAUCACCUUUAAUGCUUAGUUCCUUCGUUUGCAAAGUCCUGACACCGUGGGCGUCACGGAGUGCCAAAGUAAAAAGCCGCCUUUGCGACUCCCCAGAUCCUCUGGAGGCUGGAGGAACCGGCCAGACAGUCAGACCCAUCAGUCCACAAGACUUCCGCAGGGGGCGAGGGCACUGAACCUGCUUUGACUUGGCCUUCCUCGACCCGUGCUGACGUCACGGCCCGAGAACCCCCUUGGUGCUGCGGAGGAGGUAACAAGUUCGAAUUUUGUAUCUCUUCCUAGUUAUUCCCAUCUGUUAAUGAUGUUUAAGUCCUUGGACUGUGUCUCCAGCUCGGACUUUUCCUUUGCCUUUGAGGCUAACAUUUUGUUACUCUCAUUUUUGCUUUCUACUUUUCUCCUUCAGAGUAAAGAAAAUUCGUUUAAAUG